GCGGCUGUGGUCUAGUCUGGUAGGAUUGGGGCCCCCCAAGCCCCAGGUCGCGGGUUCAAAUCCCGCCAGCCGCA
rnacentral:tRNA from 2 species